AGUCUGAUGGAGCAACGCCGCGUGAGUGAAGAAGGCUUUCGGGUCGUAAAACUCUGUUGUUGGAGAAGAAUGGUCGGCAGAGUAACUGUUGUCGGCGUGACGGUAUCCAACCAGAAAGCCACGGCUAACUACGUGCCAGCAGCCGCGGUAAUACGUAGGUGGCAAGCGUUAUCCGGAUUUAUUGGGCGUAAAGCGAGCGCAGGCGGUUUUUUAAGUCUGAUGUGAAAGCCCUCGGCUUAACCGAGGAAGUGCAUCGGAAACUGGGAAACUUGAGUGCAGAAGAGGACAGUGGAACUCCAUGUGUAGCGGUGAAAUGCGUAGAUAUAUGGAAGAACACCAGUGGCGAAGGCGGCUGUCUGGUCUGUAACUGACGCUGAGGCUCGAAAGCAUGGGUAGCGAACAGGAUUAGAUACCCUGGUAGUCCAUGCCGUAAACGAUGAAUGCUAGGUGUUGGAGGGUUUCCGCCCUUCAGUGCCGCAGCUAACGCAUUAAGCAUUCCGCCUGGGGAGUACGACCGCAAGGUUGAAACUCAAAGGAAUUGACGGGGGCCCGCACAAGCGGUGGAGCAUGUGGUUUAAUUCGAAGCAACGCGAAGAACCCUUACCAGGUCUUGAC
rnacentral:rRNA from 2 species